rnacentral:lncRNA from 10 species
ACACAAUUUCACUCCUCUGCAUUCACCAAAUGUCCAAUUACAUAUCCUCCCUGCCUGGACCUUCAGAACAAUAUAAAACUGAAUGAAGGCUAUGAAAGAAGUCACAGGAGGAUUUUUGCAGAGCUUCCAUCCAGUUCAGAAACAAAGCAAUUCAAUACAUGUCUUCAAGAUUUCUAAAGGCAAUGACUUAUUGUUGUUGUUUGUUUGUUUUGUCAGUAGAACCAUGGAGAAUUGCCAAGAUUGCUGACUAGAUGUGGCCAGGAGAAAUAUCUCCCACUGAGAGACUGGGACAUUGGAAAGACUAUAACACACCUCUGAGUAGAUCUUCUGAUGGAAGACAUUAAGAGUGGAUGCAGAGAGGAUGCAGAUGCUGGGCUGAAGAGAGAGGAAGCUGGAAACCCUGCAUAGUGUGGCUGAGCCUCAGGACUUGUACCUGGCCCUCAGAGACUCCUGGGGGAAGGGUGAGUUUACAGGUGAGGAGUGGCCUGCUCUCACCAUGGACCCAUUCUGGUAGGUCCCUCAACCUCUAUGGGCAUCUGAGAUGGUAGGAAAAGCUGCUCAGAGAGGUCAUAUGGGCAGGACUCCAGCCUAUGCAGAGCCCAGAGUGGUGGGAGAACAGCUGCAGUGAAGCACAUCCAGGGACGGCCAUCCUCCAAGGCUCACUGUGCUUCUCCAGGAUACUUUAGCCUCAAUAUGACUGUUAGAGCUAGACAAAGCAGGGCAGUCUUGCUCGUGGGAUGCGGCCUGAUGCCUGAUCUGAUGCUCUGUUACCUGCUGGCCUCUCUUGGGGAGCCAGUCUGGUCGUGCUUGCUUGAAGUGCAGCCUUGGAUACCCAACAGGGGUGCUUCUAGGAACCCUCAUCAUAGCUCCUUCAAUGGCAGACUUAGCUCCUUCAAUGGCAGACUGUGCCUGAUUAUCAGAGAACUCCAGCAGACCAGGCCCCACUUACAUGAACCAGCCCACGCACAGCUUCACCCUAUCACAGCCCUCCCGUAAUGCUUUACUGACAUGCAUUUGCUCAUGGCCAUUCUCCAUCGCUGUGCUUGUAUGAGUCCACCUUGUUGCUUCCCCCUGCCAUUAACAUGCAGGUUCACUCCUGUGCCAGCACUAAUGUGUGCACAGAUGCUGGCAACACUGUUCUCCCCCCAACCCCUGCUACCACCGCCACCAAUGCUGCCGGUGUGAAUGCAUACAUGGACACCAGCAACUCCAUCUCUGCUAGUGUACUGCCCUUGCUGUGCUGUCAUCACUGGCAUAAACAUGUGCAGGAACACCACCUCCCUGCUCCCACAGUUGCUCUGUGCAAGCCAACAUGUGUGCACCUUGCCACAUUGCUGUGGCUGCUGGUAUGCAUGAGCCAGCAUGGAUCCCACUGCCACUACUCCAGUGACAUGCUUUGACCAGCACCCCUCCCCAUCAGAGUGUGGUGGCCAGUGGACAAGAACACCUCAGUCUCUCCAGUGCAGCAGCUUCCUAACCUUGAGGGGCCAGAGAACAAGGCUGGGGGCCCAGUACCAGCCUCCCAGAGUUAAAACAUGCAGCCCAGCAGUGUAGAGCUGAGCCUUGGCUUUCUAAAAUCUUCCAGAAAUAAAUGAAGCCAGUUGACUGAACCCAUCAUAUGCCACAAUCUAACUCCCAGGGCAUCAAAGAAGAUAAAAGCCAAAAUCCCCAUCCAAAGGACAGUAAUAUCAAAGAUGAGAAAGAACCAGUGCAAAAAACUCUGGCAAUUCAAAAAGCCAGAGUGUCUUUUUACCUCCAAACGAUCACUCCAUUUCCUCAGUGGUGGUUCUUAACUAGGCUGAAAAGACAGAAAUGACAGAUAUAGACUUCAGAAUAUGGAUAGGAAAGAUGAUCAAGAUUUGGGAGAAGAUUGAAACCCAAUCCUAGGAAGCUAAGGAAUACAAUAAUGCAAUACAGGAGCUGAAAGAUGAAAUGGCCAUUUUAAGAAAGAACCAAACUGAUGUGAUAGAGUGACAGAGCUGAAAAACUCACUUUGAGAAUUUCACAAUACAAUUGCAAGUAUUAACAGCAGAGUAGACCAUGCUGACGAAGGACUCUCAGAUCUUGAAGACCAGUUCUCCAAAGUUAACUUGGUCAGAC